AAUAGAACAUCUACUAGCAUUAGCUUUAAUUUCCAUAAAAUAUGCAUACCUCAAAAGAUCGAAUCUAACACGAAAAAAUAUCCUUGUGUACUUAAUCUAAAUUGGCAUUAACGUCAAUUCAUUCUCGUCAGUAUCCAUGGCAAUAACGGAAUCAAGGCUGAACCAGUUUUCCUUAUAUACACCGCACAUCAUGGUAAUCACUAGGACUCUAACCUUGUCAGUGCCAAUCUGGUCUACAAGAACAAUAUUGAGAGGGGAUCUCACUACCGAAAUUUCUAUCCAGAAGAAACUAUUGUUCCCGGCCGAGAUGAUGAGAGGGGUGGUUUAAAACCAAAGAACGCGGAAGGAAAGUCAAGCUUUGACAGUGUUUCGUUUCUGUAUUGCAGAUUUCCUUCUGCUAUGUGCUUUGGACGAGCCUGUCACGAGCCAUAUUGAGAGGGCAAUCCGUGGUUUCGGCUGUUUUCUUUUACACAACCCAUGUCAAGUUCCUCCCCCCCCCUCUGUUCUAGACUCAGACCAAACGUGUAAUACGAUGCGGGGGAGGCAUGUGCAAGAUCAUAAGAUCAUGGAAGAAAGAGAAGGAAAGCGAUCAGCCCUUGAAUAGGGCUCCCCAAAAAUUGACUUGCCAAUCAGGGGACUUUCCUCUGACCGAAAUCAACCACAUGGAUUCCUAUUCCAAAGGGAAUCGGUCCCAAGAGGAACCACGUCUGUUUCGGCAACGACUAGAAGGAAACUACUUUUGGCACGCAAACCAUUCUACUAAUCCAUGCUAUUUUAGCUUUCAAAAAAAUUGUCAAGAGCUUGUUUCCUCAUGGGAACCAGGAUACCAUUUUUGUUUUGCUUCUUAAGUACAACCAUCAAAAAAAAGAAAGAUGAAAUGUACGUAUGGGUCCAAAUCCUGUUUAAUAAUUGUUUAAUAAAGCGUUUGCUUCGUGACCUUA